CCUACGGGUGGCAGCAGUGGGGGAUAUUGCACAAUGGGGGGAACCCUGAUGCAGUGACGCCGCGUGGGGGAAUGAAGGUCUUCGGAUUGUAAACCCCUGUCAUGUGGGAGCAAAUUAAAAAGAUAGUACCACAAGAGGAAGAGACGGCUAACUCUGUGCCAGCAGCCGCGGUAAUACGGAGGAUGCGAGCGUUAUCCGGAUUUAUUGGGUUUAAAGGGUGCGUAGGCGGAUUUUUAAGUCAGCGGUAAAAUGUCCGGGCUCAACCCGGGCCGGCCGUUGAAACUGGGGAUCUUGAGUGGGCGAGAAGUAUGCGGAAUGCGUGGUGUAGCGGUGAAAUGCAUAGAUAUCACGCAGAACUCCGAUUGCGAAGGCAGCAUACCGGCGCCCGACUGACGCUGAGGCACGAAAGCGUGGGGAUCGAACAGGAUUAGAUACCCCAGUAGUC
rnacentral:rRNA from 1 species